rnacentral:rRNA from 1 species
AGUGGCAGACGGGUGAGUAACAUGUAGGUAUCUUCCCUUUGGUGAGGAAUAACACGAGGAAACUUGUGCUAAUACCUCAUAAGUCUUUACGGAGAAAGCUUUAUGCGCCGAAGGAUGAGCCUGCACUUGAUUAGUUUGUUGGUGGGGUAAUGGCCUACCAAGACUGUGAUCUAUAGCUGAUCUGAGAGGAUGAUCAGCCACAUUGGGACUGAGACACGGCCCAAACUCCUACGGGAGGCAGCAGUAGGGAAUAUUGCACAAUGGAGGAAACUCUGAUGCAGCGAUGCCGCGUGAGUGAAGAAGGCCUUUGGGUUGUAAAGCUCUUUCGUCGGGGAAGAAAAUGACUGUACCCGAAUAAGAAGGUCCGGCUAACUUCGUGCCAGCAGCCGCGGUAAUACGAAGGGACCUAGCGUAGUUCGGAAUUACUGGGCUUAAAGAGUUCGUAGGUGGUUAGAAAAGUUGGUGGUGAAAUCCCAGAGCUUAACUCUGGAACUGCCAUCAAAACUUUUUAGCUAGAGUAUGAUAGAGGAAAGCAGAAUUUCUAGUGUAGAGGUGAAAUUCGUAGAUAUUAGAAAGAAUACCAAUUGCGAAGGCAGCUUUCUGGAUCAUUACUGACGCUGAGGAACGAAAGCAUGGGUAGCGAAGAGGAUUAGAUACCCUCGUAGUCCAUGCCGUAAACGAUGUGUGUUAGACGUUGGAAAUUUAUUUUCAGUGUCGCAGCGAAAGCAU